rnacentral:rRNA from 1 species
GAUCAUGGCUCAGGAUGAACGCUAGCUACAGGCUUAACACAUGCAAGUCGAGGGGCAGCGGGAUUGAAGCUUGCUUCAAUUGCCGGCGACCGGCGCACGGGUGAGUAACGCGUAUCCAACCUUCCGUACACUCAGGAUAGCCUUUCGAAAGAAAGAUUAAUACCUUAUGGUAUGAUGAGAUUGCAUGAUAGCAUCAUUAAAGAUUUAGUCGGUGUACGAUGGGGAUGUCG